UACAGAGGGGGCAAGCGUUGUUCGGAAUUACUGGGCGUAAAGCGCGUGUAGGCGGCCCGGUAAGUCCGCUGUGAAAGUCGGGGGCUCAACCCUCGGAUGCCGGUGGAUACUGUCGGGCUAGAGUACGGAAGAGGCGAGUGGAAUUCCUGGUGUAGCGGUGAAAUGCGCAGAUAUCAGGAGGAACACCAAUUGCGAAGGCAGCUCGCUGGGACGUUACUGACGCUGAGACGCGAAAGCGUGGGGAGCAAACAGG
rnacentral:rRNA from 1 species